rnacentral:rRNA from 1 species
UUUCAGUGUAGCGGUGAAAUGCGUAGAUAUUGGAAAGGAAUACCAGUGGCGAAGGCGGCCACCUGGUCAGAGACUGACGCUGAGAUACGAAAGCGUGGGGAGCAAACAGGAUUAGAUACCGUGGUAGUACACGCCGUAAACGAUGUCAACUAGGUCGUUCGUGUCACUGAGACGUGACUAUCGCAGCUAACGCACUAAGUUGACCGCCUGGAGAGUACGGUCGCAAGAUUAAAACUCAAAUGAAUUGACGGGGGCCCGCACAAGCGGUGGAGCAUGUGGUUUAAUUCGAUGCAACGCGAAGAACCUUACCUUCUCUUGACAUCCAGAGAACUUUCCAGAGAUAGAUUGGUGCCUUCGGGAACUCUGAGACAGGUGCUGCAUGGCUGUCGUCAGCUCGUGUUGUGAGAUGUUGGGUUAAGUCCCGCAACGAGCGCAACCCUUAUCCUUAGUUGCCAGCAAGUAAUGUCGGGAACUCCGGGGAGACUGCCGGUGAUAAACCGGAGGAAGGUGGGGACGACGUCAAGUCAUCAUGGCCCUUACGGGAAGGGCUACACACGUGCUACAAUGGCGCGUACAAAGGGCAGCGAACUUGCGAAGGUAAGCGAAUCUCAUAAAGCGCGUCGUAGUCCGGAUUGGAGUCUGCAACUCGACUCCAUGAAGUCGGAAUCGCUAGUAAUCGUGGAUCAGAAUGCCACGGUGAAUACGUUCCCGGGCCUUGUACACACCGCCCGUCACACCAUGGG